UGUUUUGUGGCUUAGUUGGCUAAAGCGCAGUUCUAACGAAUAUGUAGUAGUGGGUCCGAAUCCCACCAGAACGC
rnacentral:tRNA from 1 species